rnacentral:rRNA from 1 species
CCUACGGGAGGCAGCAGUGGGGAAUAUUGCACAAUGGGGGGAACCCUGAUGCAGCGACGCCGCGUGAGUGAAGAAGUAUCUCGGUAUGUAAAGCUCUAUCAGCAGGGAAGUAAAUGACGGUACCUGACUAAGAAGCCCCGGCUAACUACGUGCCAGCAGCCGCGGGAAUACGUAGGGGGCAAGCGUUAUCCGGAUUUACUGGGGGUAAAGGGAGCGCAGACGGGUGUGCAAGUCUGGAGUGAAAGGCGGGGGCCCAAACCCCGGACUGCACUGGAAACUGUAAAGUUGGAGUGCAGGAGAGGUAAGCGGAAUUCCUGGUGGAGCGGUGAAAUGCGUAGAUAUUAGGAGGAACACCAGUGGCGAAGGCGGCUUACUGAACUGCAACUGACGUUGAGGCUCGAAAGCGUGGGGAGCAAACAGGAUUAGAUACCCUGGUAGUC